AUUGAACGCUGGCGGAAUGCUUUACACAUGCAAGUCGAACGGCAGCACGGACUUCGGUCUGGUGGCGAGUGGCGAACGGGUGAGUAAUACAUCGGAACGUGCCCGGGACGUGGGGGAUAACUACUCGAAACGAGUGGCUAAUACCGCAUACGAUCCAAGGAUGAAAGCGGGGGGAUCGCAAGACCUCGCGCGUUUGGAGCGGCCGAUGGGCAGAUUAGGUAGUUGGUGAGGUAAAGGCUUACCAAGCCUGCGAUCUGUAGCUGGUCUGAGAGGAUGAUCAGCCACACUGGGACUGAGACACGGCCCAGGACUCCUACGGGAGGCAGCAGUGGGGAAUUUUGGACAAUGGGCGAAAGCCUGAUCCAGCCAUUCCGCGUGCAGGAUGAAGG
rnacentral:rRNA from 1 species